rnacentral:tmRNA from 1 species
CCCUUUGCAAUCCACGCGGCAAGCCCCUAUAUUCAGAUCGUUGGUUUCGGCCAACUAUGGACAUAAACGCGCUCGUAAUAAGCGGAUCGGACCCGGGGGCGGUACCCGGCGGCUCCACCAUAAAAACCUGUCGUUGGAAGGGGUUAAGGGGCCGAAACAGGAUCGACGAACGUCUAAAGGGGUUUGCUUUGUCCCGGUGAGUUACCACCGUUAUCGGUACACUAAGCAUAAUUGCCAACGACAAUCGUGCUCCGGUUGCUCUCGCAGCGUAAGCUGUUGGAAACACCGAAACUUAAGCCCUUGCCUCUAGCAAGGUAAGGCGGGGUUCGCAGGCACCUGGCAACAGAAGCCUGCACU